UUUGGAGUGAGUGGCGAACUGGUGAGUAACACGUGGGAAACCUGCCCAGAAGCGGGGGAUAACACCUGGAAACAGAUGCUAAUACCGCAUAACAACUUGGACCGCAUGGUCCGAGCUUGAAAGAUGGCUUCGGCUAUCACUUUUGGAUGGUCCCGCGGCGUAUUAGCUAGAUGGUGGGGUAACGGCUCACCAUGGCAAUGAUACGUAGCCGACCUGAGAGGGUAAUCGGCCACAUUGGGACUGAGACACGGCCCAAACUCCUACGGGAGGCAGCAGUAUUGGAAUCUUCCACAAUGGACGAAAGUCUGAUGGAGCAACGCCGCGUGAGUGAAGAAGGGUUUCGGCUCGUAAAACUCUGUUGUUAAAGAAGAACAUAUCUGAGAGUAACUGUUCAGGUAUUGACGGUAUUUAACCAGAAAGCCACGGCUAACUACGUGCCAGCAGCCGCGGUAAUACGUAGGUGGCAAGCGUUGUCCGGAUUUAUUGGGCGUAAAGCGAGCGCAGGCGGUUUUUUAAGUCUGAUGUGAAAGCCUUCGGCUCAACCGAAGAAGUGCAUCGGAAACUGGGAAACUUGAGUGCAGAAGAGGACAGUGGAACUCCAUGUGUA
rnacentral:rRNA from 2 species